rfam:Aedes aegypti strain Liverpool supercont1.85 genomic scaffold, whole genome shotgun sequence.
UGUUCUGUAGCUUAGUUGGUUAAAGCGCCGGUCUAGUGUACACGGAGUCGUGAGUUCGAGUCUCACUAGAACGC